rnacentral:tRNA from 1 species
AGUUAAAAAGCUACAGACAAGGCCUAGUGUCUUGAAAACACUAUGAAAGAAGUUUAAAUCUUCUAUUAACUU